CCUACGGGUGGCAGCAGUGAGGAAUAUUGGUCAAUGGCCGGAAGUCUGAACCAGCCAUGCCGCGUGAAGGUCAGUGCCCUAUGGGCGUUAAACUUCUUUUGUGCGGGAGCAAUAAUGGUCACGUUUGGCCAGCCUAGAGUACCGUUCUAAUAAGCAUCGGCUAACUCCGUUCCAGCGGCCGCGGUAAUACGGGGGAUGCAAGCGUUAUCCGGAUUUAUUGGGUUUAAAGGGUGCGUAGGCUGUGAGGUAAGUCAGCGGUGAAAUGCCCCCGCUCAACGGGGUGAAGUGCCAUUGAUACUGCCUGGCUGGAAUGCGGAUGCCGUGGGAGGAAUGUGUGGUGUAGCGGUGAAAUGCAUAGAUAUCACACAGAACACCGAUUGCGAAGGCAUCUCACGAAUCCGCGAUUGACGCUGAUGCACGAAAGCGUGGGUAUCAAACAGGAUUAGAUACCCUUGUAGUC
rnacentral:rRNA from 1 species